ACAGCUGCGCUGGGUCAUCCUGAGGACACAGCUGGAGCAUCACAAUCAGUCAGUGUGCACCACACGCUGCCCUGACACAGUUUCUAGACUUUGAUGGAUUCCUUUCUCUGAGUUGCAGUUGUAAGAUGAUGUUGAUGAUUCUGAUGGUGGUGAUACACCAGCUUGGAACCCUGUUGGCUACCAAGAGGAAUGUUUGCCAUCCGAUGCUAUUUUUUUGUUAAACCUUUUGAUCCAGAAAACCUAUUCCUGGGAUAAUACUGAAAACAAACGUCUUACUCAUGCAUAGCAGAAGACAUCUAUGAUAAUAUUUAUAGCAUUGUUAUAAUGAAUACUAUGAUGAAUGCUAUAAUGAAAGCCUGGAAGCUGCCUUGAGUCUGUCAUCAUGGGAUUAGAUGAAUAAUCUGUGGAAUAGUCACCCAGUAAUAUUACACAGGAUUAAUGUUAUAGCAAUUGGAUGGACAUUUAGUGCUCUAAUACUAAAGAAUAAAACAAAC